AUUGAACGCUGGCGGCAGGCUUAACACAUGCAAGUCGAACGAGUGGCGGACGGGUGAGUAAUGUCUGGGAAACUGCCUGUUGGCGGGGUAUAACUACUUGAAACGGUAGCUAAUACCGCAUACCCUUGGCUCUGCCCAUAUGGGAUUAGCUAGUUGGUGGGGUAAAGGCUCACCUAGGCGACGAUCCCUAGCUGGUCUGAGAGGAUGACCAGGCACACUGGAACUGAGACACGGCCCAGAAUCCUACGGUAGGCAGCAGUGGGGAAUUUUGGACAAUGGGGGAAAGCCUGAUGCAGCCAUGCCGCGUGUAUGAAGAAGGCCUUCGGGUUGUAAAGUACUUUUGGCGGAGAAGCGUUAUCUGCAGAAGAAGCACCGGCUAACUCCGUGCCAGCAGCCGCGGUAAUUC
rnacentral:rRNA from 1 species